rnacentral:rRNA from 1 species
UUAAUUGAAGAGUUUGAUCAUGGCUCAGAUUGAACGCUGGCGGCAGGCCUAACACAUGCAAGUCGAGCGGUAACAGAAAAGAAGCUUGCUUCUUUUGCUGACGAGCGGCGGACGGGUGAGUAAUGCCUGGGAAUAUACCCUGAUGUGGGGGAUAACUAUUGGAAACGAUAGCUAAUACCGCAUAAUCUCUUCGGAGCAAAGAGGGGGACCUUCGGGCCU